GUGUCAGCAGCCGCGGUAAUACAGGGGGGGCAAGCGUUGUUCGGAAUUACUGGGCGUAAAGGGCCAGUAGGCGGCCAACUAAGUCACACGUGAAAUCCCCAGGCUUAACCUGGGAACUGCGUGUGAUACUGGAUGGCUUGAAUUCGGGAGAGGGAUGCAGAAUUCCAGGUGUAGCGGUGAAAUGCGUAGAUAUCUGGAGGAAUACCGGUGGCGAAGGCGGCAUCCUGGACCGACAUUGACGCUGAACGGCGAAAGCUAGGGGAGCAAACGGGAUUAGAUACCCCCGUAGUCC
rnacentral:rRNA from 1 species